UUUGCUGACGAGUGGCGGACGGGUGAGUAAUGUCUGGGAAACUGCCUGAUGGAGGGGGAUAACUACUGGAAACGGUAGCUAAUACCGCAUAACGUCGCAAGACCAAAGAGGGGGACCUUCGGGCCUCUUGCCAUCGGAUGUGCCCAGAUGGGAUUAGCUAGUAGGUGGGGUAACGGCUCACCUAGGCGACGAUCCCUAGCUGGUCUGAGAGGAUGACCAGCCACACUGGAACUGAGACACGGUCCAGACUCCUACGGGAGGCAGCAGUGGGGAAUAUUGCACAAUGGGCGCAAGCCUGAUGCAGCCAUGCCGCGUGUAUGAAGAAGGCCUUCGGGUUGUAAAGUACUUUCAGCGGGGAGGAAGGGAGUAAAGUUAAUACCUUUGCUCAUUGACGUUACCCGCAGAAGAAGCACCGGCUAACUCCGUGCCAGCAGCCGCGGUAAUACGGAGGGUGCAAGCGUUAAUCGGAAUUACUGGGCGUAAAGCGCACGCAGGCGGUUUGUUAAGUCAGAUGUGAAAUCCCCCCGGGCU
rnacentral:rRNA from 1 species